UGGUGGCGAUAGCCUGAAGGAUACACCUGUUCCCAUGCCGAACACAGAAGUUAAGCUUCAGCACGCCAAAAGUAGUUGGGGGAU
rnacentral:rRNA from 1 species